AGACUGCAUUUUGAUCGGCUAAUGUCCCACUCGGCACUCUGAAGCCACAUGGUUUGUAUUAUUCAUUUAACAAUGUGUCUCAGAGUGUAGUGGGCCCUUAGCUCCCACAUCAUCUUCCCUG
rnacentral:precursor_RNA from 12 species